rnacentral:rRNA from 1 species
UACGUAGGGUGCAAGCGUUUAAUCGGAAUUACUGGGCGUAAAGCGUGCGCAGGCGGUUAUAUAAGACAGAUGUGAAAUCCCCGGGCUCAACCUGGGAACUGCAUUUGUGACUGCACGGCUGGAGUGCGGCAGAGGGGGAUGGAAUUCCGCGUGUAGCAGUGAAAUGCGUAGAUAUGCGGAGGAACACCGAUGGCGAAGGCAAUCCCCUGGGCCUGCACUGACGCUCAUGCACGAAAGCGUGGGGAGCAAACAGG